AUUGAACGCUGGCGGCAUGCCUUACACAUGCAAGUCGAACGGUAACAGGUUAAGCUGACGAGUGGCGAACGGGUGAGUAAUGUAUCGGAACGUGCCCAGUCGUGGGGGAUAACUGCUCGAAAGAGCAGCUAAUACCGCAUACGACCUGAGGGUGAAAGCGGGGGAUCGCAAGACCUCGCGCGGUUAGAGCGGCCGAUAUCAGAUUAGGUAGUUGGUGAGGUAAAGGCUCACCAAGCCGACGAUCUGUAGCUGGUCUGAGAGGACGACCAGCCACACUGGGACUGAGACACGGCCCAGACUCCUACGGGAGGAAGCAGUGGGGAAUUUUGGACAAUGGGCGCAAGCCUGAUCCAGCCAUGCCGCGUGCGGGAAGAAGGCCUUCGGGUUGUAAACCGCUUUUGUCAGGGAAGAAAAGGUUCUGGCUAAUACCUGGGACUCAUGACGGUACCUGAAGAAUAAGCACCGGCUAACUACGUG
rnacentral:rRNA from 1 species